AUUGAACGCUGGCGGAAUGCUUUACACAUGCAAGUCGAACGGCAGCACGGGGGCAACCCUGGUGGCGAGUGGCGAACGGGUGAGUAAUACAUAGGAACAUACCCAGUAAUGGGGGAUAACGCCGAGAAAUCGGUGCUAAUACCGCAUACGCCCUGAGGGGGAAAGCGGGGGAUCUUCGGACCUCGCGUUAUUGGAUUGGCCUAUGUCUGAUUAGCUAGUUGGUGAGGUAAAGGCUCACCAAGGCUUCGAUCAGUAGCUGGUCUGAGAGGAUGAUCAGCCACACUGGAACUGAGACACGGUCCAGACUCCUACGGGAGGCAG
rnacentral:rRNA from 1 species